AACACUGUUAACCUGCGGUACCUGCGGAAGGAUCAUUACGAGAGUGUCACCACUCCCAACCCAUUGUUUACCUACCCGUCCACCGUGCUUCGGCAGGCAGCCCUGUGGGACAGAGCCUCGCCCCCUUUCGCGGGGGGUGCCUGCCGCUUGCCAACCAAAACUCUAGCUGUUUUAGUACCAUCUGAGUCUUCCACAAAUGAACAAAACUUUUAACAAUGGAUCUCAGAUCGGAAGAGCACA
rnacentral:misc_RNA from 1 species